rnacentral:rRNA from 1 species
GUGGGGAAUAUUGCACAAUGGGCGCAAGCCUGAUGCAGCAACGCCGCGUGAGGGAUGACGGCCUUCGGGUUGUAAACCUCUUUUAGUAGGGAAGAAGCGAAAGUGACGGUACCUGCAGAAAAAGCACCGGCUAACUACGUGCCAGCAGCCGCGGUAAUACGUAGGGUGCAAGCGUUGUCCGGAAUUAUUGGGCGUAAAGAGCUCGUAGGCGGCUUGUCGCGUCUGCUGUGAAAACCCGAGGCUCAACCUCGGGCCUGCAGUGGGUACGGGCAAGCUAGAGUGCGGUAGGGGAGAUUGGAAUUCCUGGUGUAGCGGUGGAAUGCGCAGAUAUCAGGAGGAACACCGAUGGCGAAGGCAGAUCUCUGGGCCGUAACUGACGCUGAGGAGCGAAAGCAUGGGGAGCGAACAGGAUUAGAAACCCUUGUAGUCC